rnacentral:rRNA from 1 species
AUUGAACGCUGGCGGCAUGCUUUACACAUGCAAGUCGAACGGCAGCGGGUCCUUCGGGAUGCCGGCGAGUGGCGAACGGGUGAGUAAUGCAUCGGAACGUACCCAGACGUGGGGGAUAACUACGCGAAAGCGUAGCUAAUACCGCAUACGCCCUGAGGGGGAAAGCGGGGGAUCUUCGGACCUCGCGCGAUUGGAGCGGCCGAUGUCGGAUUAGCUAGUUGGUGGGGUAAAGGCCUACCAAGGCGACGAUCCGUAGCUGGUCUGAGAGGACGACCAGCCACACUGGAACUGAGACACGGUCCAGACUCCUACGGGAGGCAGCAGUGGGGAAUUUUGGACAAUGGGCGCAAGCCUGAUCCAGCAAUGCCGCGUGCAGGAUGAAGGCCU